rnacentral:tRNA from 1 species
GGCGGCGUAGCUCAGGUGGUCAGAGCGUGGGCCUCAUAAUCCCAAGGUCGAUGGUUCGAGUCCAUCCGCCGCUACCA